UACGUAGGGUGCAAGCGUUAUCCGGAAUUAUUGGGCGUAAAGCGUGCGCAGGCGGUUUUGUAAGUCUGUCGUGAAAUCCCCGGGCUCAACCUGGGAAUUGCGAUGGAGACUGCAAGGCUAGAAUCUGGCAGAGGGGGGUAGAAUUCCACGUGUAGCAGUGAAAUGCGUAGAGAUGUGGAGGAACACCGAUGGCGAAGGCAGCCCCCUGGGUCAAGAUUGA
rnacentral:rRNA from 1 species